rnacentral:rRNA from 1 species
UAAGGAAUAUUGGUCAAUGGACGCAAGUCUGAACCAGCCAUGCCGCGUGAAGGAUGAAGGUCCUCUGGAUUGUAAACUUCUUUUAUCUGGGACGAAAACGGGAUUUUUAUCUCAAUUGACGGUACCAGAGGAAUAAGCACCGGCUAACUCCGUGCAGCAGCCGCGGUAAUACGGAGGGUGCGAGCGUUAUCCGGAUUUACUGGGUUUAAAGGGUGCGUAGGUGGGCUUAUAAGUCAGUGGUGAAAUCUCCGAGCUUGACUUGGAAACUGCCGGUGAUACUAUAGGUCUUGAAUUAUCUGGAGGUAAGCAGAAUAUGUCAUGUAGCGGUGAAAUGCUUAGAUAUGACAUAGAACACCAAUUGCGAAGGCAGCUUACUACAUAUAAAUUGACGCUGAGGCACGAAAGCGUGGGGAUCAAACA